AUACGGAGGGUGCAAGCGUUAUUCGGAAUCACUGGGCGUAAAGGACGCGUAGGCGGGUUGGCAAGUCAGAUGUGAAAUCCUACAGCUUAACUGUAGAACUGCAUUUGAAACUGCUAACCUAGAGUAUGUGAGGGGGAGAUGGAAUUAGUGGUGUAGGGGUAAAAUCCGUAGAUAUCACUAGGAAUACCGAAAGCGAAGGCGAUCUCCUGGAACAUAACUGACGCUAAGGCGUGAAAGCGUGGGGAGCAAACAGGAUUAGAAACCCUAGUAGUCC
rnacentral:rRNA from 1 species